AAAAAGGAACUAAAAAUCGCAUUUAUGGGAACCUCCUGAAAAUUUUAUUAACUUUUGGAACAUAGUUGGUCAUAUGAAAUCGAUGAGGUUUUAAGCAUUUUUAGACCUUAAAAACAAAUUUAAAUUUAGUAAUUUAAAUGCAUUCUUUAAUGCAACUAAUAGGAAAUUCUAAACACAUCCACUUGUAUAACA